UUUUAAUGAAACCAUUUCUAGAUAUCUAUAUCUUGUGUGUUUUAGAUCUUAGUAUUGAAAGCAGUGGAGAUAGUGAUAUUUCAAAAGAGUCUUUGAAGUAAAGAAAAAGCGAUCGUCGUGUCGUGAUGAAGAAUCUAAUGAUUCCUUGUCCUCAUCUCCGAAAAUAAAGAAAAUAUUGAUCUCUAAAUGUAAACCAGUGAAACUAAACCAAAUGAUAAAGAACUCCAGUAUAUCACAUGAAAAUUUCCAUUCAUUUCCAGAAUUUUGAUCAUUGCUUUCUCAGUAAAAUUCUGACAAUAUUUUUUUAGAUGUGAUACUAAAUCCAAUUUAUAAGUAUUGUCCUACAUGUGGCUGUGCAUAUUGUCAGAAAUGUUUUUACCUAUAAUUCUUAAUUCAUUGUUAAUAAUUAAUUUAACUUUUCACUUUAUUAAGAAAAUGACAUUAUGGAAGCUUUAUGUUUAAACCACACCAGUGUCGAAAUGGAAUUUAUUAUAACAUUUAUUCAUUUAUAACAUUAAAAAAAAAUGACAAUAAUAAUGAAAUAAUAAUUAACGAUUUAUUCAUUUAAAAUGAAUAGUGGUUUUUCUUUACUAAUAAGAAAAUUUAUGUUUUCAUGACUAAAGCUUAUGGUCAUGCAUCGAAAGCUAAUCUGGAAUCUGCUAGGAGAAGUAUCGAAUAUCAUAUUAGAGAGGAAGCGAAAAUCACAAGAACAUUGUUUAGUCUUCACAAUUACACAGUUGAUAUUCAAAAAAUAAUGACCGAACAGACAGUUAACGAAUUACCAUUUAACCAUGUAGAAAGCUUCCUUGAUUUUGAUAAUAAAUUGAAGACUAAUUUAGUAAUGAUGCAAAAACUGAAAUGCUUUAUCAUGUUAAAUGUGAAAAGUACAUUAAACUUUCGGAAAAUUUUUCUUUUUUAAUUCCUAAGAUUAUUUUACCAAAUAUUCAAGUGCUAUUCAGUGCUUUUGGGCGAGAAUCAAACGGUGUAAAAAAGUUAAAUUUCUCUGGUACAGAAACUUACAAAUAUUUGCUAGAAGUAGUUACAAUGAAAUUUCCUGACGAAAAUGAAAAAGAAAUUUCAAGUCAAAUAAGUCGCUGGUUUUCAGGUGCAAAGGAUAGAGAUGGUGGAAAGAGAUACCGAUUAUUAAAAUAAAAAAAGUCGUAAAGAGCGAAAGGAUAUCGAAAAUGAAGACGAAAUUCUAUAAUUUUAUCUGUUUA